rnacentral:tRNA from 1 species
GGAGGGAUGGCAGAGCGGCCGAAUGCGGCGGUCUUGAAAACCGUUGGGCGAGAGCCCCGGGGGUUCGAAUCCCUCUCCCUCCG